UGCCCAAGAGAUCGGGAUAACACCUGGAAACAGAUGCUAAUACCGGAUAACAACAGAUGAUGCCUAUCAACUGUUUAAAAGAUGGUUCUGCUAUCACUCUCGGAUGGACCUGCGGUGCAUUAGCUAGUUGGUAGGGUAACGGCCUACCAAGGCGAUGAUGCAUAGCCGAGUUGAGAGACUGAUCGGCCACAUUGGGACUGAGACACGGCCCAAACUCCUACGGGAGGCAGCAGUC
rnacentral:rRNA from 1 species